rnacentral:rRNA from 1 species
GGGGAAUAUUGGACAAUGGGCGCAAGCCUGAUCCAGCAAUGCCGCGUGAGUGAUGAAGGCCUUAGGGCUGUAAAGCUCUUUUACCCGGGAUGAUAAUGAAAGUACCGGGAGAAUAAGCUCCGGCUAACUCCGUGCCAGCAGCCGCGGUAAUACGGAGGGAGCUAGCGUUGUUCGGAAUUACUGGGCGUAAAGCGCACGUAGGCGGCUUUGUAAGUUAGGGGUGAAAGCCCGGGGCUCAACUCCGGAAUUGCCUUUAAGACUGCAUCGCUAGAAUCGUGGAGAGGUGAGUGGAAUUCCGAGUGUAGAGGUGAAAUUCGUAGAUAUUCGGAAGAACACCAGUGGCGAAGGCGACUCACUGGACACGUAUUGACGCUGAGGUGCGAAAGCGUGGGGAGCAAA